rnacentral:rRNA from 1 species
AGAGUUUGAUCCUGGCUCAGGAUGAACGCUGGCGGCGUGCUUAACACAUGCAAGUCGAACGAACCUUCGGGUUAGUGGCGGACGGGUGAGUAACGCGUGGGAAUCUGCCCUCAGGAGGGGGAUAACGGUUGGAAACGACCGCUAAUACCCCAUAUGCCGAGAGGUGAAAUGAAUUUCGCCUGAGGAUGAGCCCGCGUCUGAUUAGCUUGUUGGUGAGGUAAUGGCUCACCAAGGCUUCGAUCAGUAGCUGGUCUGAGAGGAUGAUCAGCCACACUGGGACUGAGACACGGCCCAGACUCCUACGGGAGGCAGCAGUGGGGAAUUUUCCGCAAUGGGCGAAAGCCUGACGGAGCAACGCCGCGUGAGGGAUGAAGGCCUCUGGGCUGUAAACCUCUUUUCUCAAGGAAGAAGAUCUGACGGUACUUGAGGAAUAAGCCACGGCUAAUUCCGUGCCAGCAGCCGCGGUAAUACGGGAGUGGCAAGCGUUAUCCGGAAUUAUUGGGCGUAAAGCGUCCGCAGGCGGCCUUUCAAGUCUGCUGUUAAAACGUGGAGCUUAACUCCAUCAUGGCAGUGGAAACUGAUUGGCUUGAGUGUGGUAGGGGCAGAGGGAAUUCCCGGUGUAGCGGUGAAAUGCGUAGAUAUCGGGAAGAACACCAGUGGCGAAGGCGCUCUGCUGGGCCAUAACUGACGCUCAUGGACGAAAGCCAGGGGAGCGAAAGGGAUUAGAUACCCCUGUAGUCCUGGCCGUAAACGAUGAACACUAGGUGUCGGGGGAAUCGACCCCUUCGGUGUCGUAGCUAACGCGUUAAGUGUUCCGCCUGGGGAGUACGCACGCAAGUGUGAAACUCAAAGGAAUUGACGGGGGCCCGCACAAGCGGUGGAGUAUGUGGUUUAAUUCGAUGCAACGCGAAGAACCUUACCAGGGUUUGACAUCCUGCGAACCUCUAAGAAAUUGGAGGGUGCCUUCGGGAACGCAGUGACAGGUGGUGCAUGGCUGUCGUCAGCUCGUGUCGUGAGAUGUUGGGUUAAGUCCCGCAACGAGCGCAACCCACGUUUUUAGUUGCCAGCAUUUAGUUGGGCACUCUAGAAAGACCGCCGGUGAUAAACCGGAGGAAGGUGUGGAUGACGUCAAGUCAUCAUGCCCCUUACAUCCUGGGCUACACACGUACUACAAUGCUACGGACAAAGGGCAGCAAACUCGCGAGGGCAAGCAAAUCCCAUAAACCGUGGCUCAGUUCAGAUCGUAGGCUGCAACUCGCCUACGUGAAGCAGGAAUCGCUAGUAAUCGCAGGUCAGCAUACUGCGGUGAAUACGUUCCCGGGCCUUGUACACACCGCCCGUCACACCAUGGAAGUUGGCCACGCCCGAAGUCGUUACUCCAACCCUUGUGGAGGAGGACGCCGAAGGUGGGGCUAAUGACUGGGGUGAAGUCGUAACAAGGUAGCCGUACCGGAAGGUGCGGCUG